CCAUUGGAAACGAUGAUUAAUACCGCAUAUAUCCUACGGGGGAAAGCAGGGGACCUUCGGGCCUUGCGCUAUUCGAUGAGCCUGAGUGAGAUUAGCUAGUUGGUGGGGUAAAGGCCUACCAAGGCGACGAUCUCUAGCUGGUCUGAGAGGAUGAUCAGCCACACUGGGACUGAGACACGGCCCAGACUCCUACGGGAGGCAGCAGUGGGGAAUAUUGCACAAUGGACGAAAGUCUGAUGCAGCCAUGCCGCGUGUGUGAAGAAGGCCUUCGGGUUGUAAAGCACUUUCAGCGAGGAGGAAAGGUCAGUAAGUAAUAUUUGCUGGCUGUGACGUUACUCGCAGAAGAAGCACCGGCUAAUUUAGUGCCAGCAGCCGCGGUAAUACUAAAGGUGCAAGCGUUAAUCGGAAUUACUGGGCGUAAAGCGCGCGUAGGUGGUUUGUUAAGUUGGAUGUGAAAGCCCAGGGCUCAACCUUGGAACUGCAUUCAAAACUGACUCACUAGAGUACGAGAGAGGUUAGUGGAAUUUCCUGUGUAGCGGUGAAAUGCGUAGAGAUGGGAAGGAACACCAGUGGCGAAGCGACUGACUGGCUCGAUACUGA
rnacentral:rRNA from 1 species